rnacentral:ncRNA from 2 species
GACCUAUAUUGGCAAACUCAUUGAAAGAUGAGGACGCAAAGCUUAGGGUCUAAAUCUGUAUUAAGACAGAUAUGGCAGCCAGUUGCACGA